AUUGAACGCUGGCGGCAGGCCUAACACAUGCAAGUCGAGCGGAUGAAGGGAGCUUGCUCCUGGAUUCAGCGGCGGACGGGUGAGUAAUGCCUAGGAAUCUGCCUGGUAGUGGGGGAUAACGUCCGGAAACGGGCGCUAAUACCGCAUACGUCCUGAGGGAGAAAGUGGGGGAUCUUCGGACCUCACGCUAUCAGAUGAGCCUAGGUCGGAUUAGCUAGUUGGUGGGGUAAAGGCCUACCAAGGCGACGAUCCGUAACUGGUCUGAGAGGAUGAUCAGUCACACGGGAGCUGGGACACGGUCCAGACGCCUACGGGAGGCAGCAGUGGGGAAUAUUGGGCAAUGGGCGAAAACCUGGUCCAGCCAUGCCGCGUGUGUGAAGAAGGUCUUCGGAUUGUAAAGCACUUUAAGUUGGGAGGAAGGGCAGUAAGUUAAUACCUUGCUGUUUUGACGUUACCAACAGAAUAAGCACCGGCUAACUUCGUG
rnacentral:rRNA from 1 species